UACGGGGGGAGCAAGCGUUGUUCGGAUUUACUGGGCGUAAAGGGCGCGUAGGCGGCCACCGCAAGUCGAUUGUGAAAUCUCCGGGCUUAACCCGGAAAGGUCAACCGAUACUGCGGGGCUAGAGUGCAGAAGGGGCAACUGGAAUUCUCGGUGUAGCGGUGAAAUGCGUAGAUGUCGAGAGGAACACCUGCGGCGAAGGCGGGUUGCUGGGCUGACACUGACGCUGAAGUGCGAAAGCUAGGGGAGCGAACGGG
rnacentral:rRNA from 1 species